rnacentral:rRNA from 1 species
UACGUAGGGAGCAAGCGUUGUUCGGAUUUACUGGGCGUAAAGGGCGCGUAGGCGGCGCGACAAGUCACUUGUGAAAUCUCCGGGCUUAACUCGGAACGGUCAAGUGAUACUGUCGGGCUAGAGUGCAGAAGGGGCAACUGGAAUUCUCGGUGUAGCGGUGAAAUGCGUAGAUAUCGAGAGGAACACCUGCGGCGAAGGCGGGUUGCUGGGCUGACACUGACGCUGAGGCGCGAAAGCCAGGGGAGCGAACGGG